AUCGCACAGAGGACGACCAGAUUGAAAGAAGUAUCGUAAAUUUAUGUCACACGAAAGUUUCAUGUCACGAAGACGAUAAAGAUCUUCAGGUAAAUAUUAUCUCCUUGCAAGCUAAACAUCGCGGAUAUCUGGUUUA